rnacentral:lncRNA from 1 species
UAAGGGUGGUUUAGACCGAAUUUUAGAGAAAAUGCCGCCAAAAUUUUAUAAAAACUGAGGUUUUAUUUGAAAAGUUAUUUUAAAAGAUUUGGUUUUGAAAAAUUAAAUUAUUUAAAAUAUAUUUAGUUAAGAAAAGAUUUACUCUAUUUUAAAGUUUGAUUUAUUAAGAAAAAUAUAAUGUUUUAAAUCCAAUCUUUUAAGAAGAGAUUUUGUUAUAAGUAAAGAUUUGAGUUCGGUUUAUUAAGAAAAGGAAUCUCUGCCACAGGAGAGCAGAG